rnacentral:rRNA from 1 species
CGUAGGGGGCAAGCGUUGUCCGGAUUUAUUGGGCGUAAAGAGCGUGUAGGCGGCUUUACAGGUCCGUUGUGAAAACUCGAGGCUCAACCUCGAGACGCCGGUGGAAACCGUAAGGCUAGAGUCCGGAAGAGGAGAGUGGAAUUCCUGGUGUAGCGGUGAAAUGCGCAGAUAUCAGGAAGAACACCCGUGGCGAAGGCGGCUCUCUGGGACGGUACUGACGCUGAGACGCGAAAGCGUGGGGAGCAAACAGGAUUAGAUACCCUGGUAGUCCACGCCGUAAACGAUGGGUGCUAGGUGUGGGCGGUGUCGACUCCGUCCGUGCCGAAGCUAACGCAUUAAGCACCCCGCCUGGGGAGUACGGCCGCAAGGCUA